rnacentral:lncRNA from 1 species
CGCGUUCAAUAUAAUAUGAUGUUCAUAGUCGGCGAAAAACUAAACGUUACGAAUCGCCAACGGCGACGGCCGUCGAGUUUAUUCCGAAAACGGUAUGAUCGGAUUCCGUAGUUUUGAUUUUUUUUUUUUAAACUCUGAGCGAACUCGAGGAAUUUGUCUGUUUGAGACUCUGAGCGAAGCAAGAACUCAUAGUCUAUGUAUCGGUUACGGAAUGAUGUAUGAUUUUUUUUUUUUUACCGUGUAAACAGCGUUUUUACCAGAAAUCUUGUCCCCAUCAAACACGUUAUAAUAAUAACUUCCGUGCAGGAUUUCCGAUCUAGUUGUCGCGUCCAGGUGAUAGUUUUCUGAAGCGAUUUUCUCUUAACAAUCGGAAAAAAAACCCGUACGCAGAAAAAACCGGGAAAAUGUACGGUCUCAAUACUUUAGGUUUUGUUUUAUGCAGAUGUAGGAGUUGCUGUAGUUUGCUUAAAAAUUAUCAUAGAGGUUUUACGAAACCCUCGCAUCGGCUUUUUCUGUAGACAUACAAUCCGGUAAAAUUUAUUGCGAACAUCAUAGUAAUCGUAGAACUACACAAUGUAGACAUUUUUUUAGAUUUUCGAGUAAUUUUAGUUUUCAAACUUUUUUUUUUUACGCAGACGAAAUUAUUUCGACCGACCAUAAAUACUAGGACAAUUUUACUAAAGUAAAACUACAGGUACUAGAGGUUUAUUGUCACAAGUCGUACUUUAUGUUAAAAGAAAGUCGUGCUUAAUGGUAUGAAUUUUUUUUUUACCUUACGAUAUUGUCGUUUGAAUUACCGACGGAAACGUAAAACAUUCGCGACAUUUCAUUACGCGUUUGGUCGAUCGUCGAUCAGAAUCGCAGGCUACGAUUUGUCGUCAUCGCGUACAGAAGAUGUAUAAAUUAAAUCGCUCCGUACGUACGGGACACUUAUCCAACUUCCCACCGACAACGGCUGCGCGCCCGGGUUUUUUAUCGCGGUCCCCUCCGAUCCUGUUCUACGGCAACGAACCUACACUAGUGUUGUAACUACACCGGCUGUACAGUAUACGGAGGGGAGGGGGUCUAAGAGAUACAUCAAUAUUUUCUACUAUACAAUACACGAUAACUGUGUACGGCCGUAUAUUAACAUUGUCAUUAAUACACAAUGCAUAGAUGCUUACGAGACGGAUUUCCUCAUUAAGUUUCGGUACUCGUCCGUGUCCGCGUCGUCAUAAUAACGGCGAACCGCAACUAGUGGCAUAUUUGUCACACACUUUUCAGGGUCGGGCAGCCGAUAAGUUGUUUUUCUCCGCCUAGCCAUGACUGCAGCGCCCCGCUCUUGUCCGCGAGAAACAAAAACAUAAGGGACGGCCCUCAGCACGCAAUAAUAGGCUAUACGUAUACGUGCGAAUUCGUUUUCGGUCCUUCGGCUAUUCGUUCGCCGCUCGUCGAUACGCGCGUAUGAUAUUAUAUCAAACACCGAGACUGGGCGUUAAUAUGUUUAACUUGAUAAAUUCAUUUUUUUUUCGAACUAUUAACUAAAUUGUUAGCCCGAGAAACACAUGGUAAUUAACUUUUAUUUAACUAGAGUUAAUUUUAUAAUUGAACCAUUCAAGUUGAUUUCAAUUUCUAUUCGUAUGUAUACGUAUU